rnacentral:rRNA from 1 species
UACGUAGGGAGCAAGCGUUGUUCGGAUUUACUGGGCGUAAAGGGCGCGUAGGCGGCGCGACAAGUCACUUGUGAAAUCUCCGGGCUUAACUCGGAACGGUCAAGUGAAACUGUCAUGCUAGAGUGCAGAAGGGGCAAUCGGAAUUCUUGGUGUAGCGGUGAAAUGCGUAGAUAUCAAGAGGAACACCUGCGGCGAAGGCGGGUUGCUGGGCUGACACUGACGCUGAAGCGCGAAAGCCAGGGGAGCGAACGGG